GUGCUAGCAUUGGCAGCACAUAUAACAAGAUUGAAACAACACAGAGAUUAGCGUGGCCCCAGUGCAGGAAUGACAUGCCAAUUCGUGAAGCAUUCCAUAGUUAA